GAGGGAGCACACACCGGGAUUAAAUACACAGACAAUUAGGGGCUGACAAGACACAGGUGCAGGUAAUCAGGGGAGGAGCAGACACAUGAGGCGGGAAACAGGAAGAGCAGGAUCUGGGACACAGGGACGAGGCAGAGCAUUUGUGUGGUAGGGAGUGAAGCUGGCUUGUCCUGCUGCAGCAGAUGAGGCACACCUGUCUUCAAUCAGCUCACCCCCUUGGCCAUGAAAUCCUGGUGUUCAUUUCACUGCCAGAUAAUUCCAUCCUGUUCGGUAGUGCUCGUUACACCUUUUACUUGUGUUUAGAAACUGAAUUUUAUUUGAAACUUGCCAGUGUCUCUGUUUGUUUCAGGCCUUCAUAUUCCUCGCUGCAGGCGACUUCUUGCCAGUAUCUUCUUGUCAAGUAUCUGUCUCAUUAAGCCAGUCUGCUCCCUGUCUUCUCUGCUAGCCUUUUUCCUUUUGUAUUUUUGGGAAAUAAACCUUUACUUUUA